ensembl:misc_RNA 7SK 7SK RNA
GGAUGUGAGAGUGAUCUGGCUGCGACAUCUGUCACCCCAUUCAUCGCCAGGGUUGAUUCAGCUGAUCUGGCUGGCUAGGCGGGUGUCCCCUUCCUCCCUCACUGCUCCAUGUGUGACCCUCCCAAAGCUGUGUGCUUGGUGGAAGAGGACGACCUUCCCCCAUAGAGGAGAACCAUUCUUCAGUCAAGUGUUCAGGAGUAGCUGCGCUCCCCUGCUAGAACCUCCAAACAAGCUCUCAAAAAGGUGCUUUUGUUACAGCACGGGGAUAGGACCCAUGGGCAGAAAGGGCUGCACUUCUGCUGUGUGAAGCUGGUGGU